GAUGAACGCUGGCGGCGUGCCUAAUACAUGCAAGUCGAGCGAACGGACGAGAAGCUUGCUUCUCUGAUGUUAGCGGCGGACGGGUGAGUAACACGUGGAUAACCUACCUAUAAGACUGGGAUAACUUCGGGAAACCGUAGCUAAUACCGGAUAAUAUUUUGAACCGCAUGGUUCAAAAGUGAAAGACGGUCUUGCGGUCACUUAUAGAUGGAUCCGCGCUGCAUUAGCUAGUUGGUAAGGUAACGGCUUACCACGGCAACGAUGCAUAGCCGACCUGAGAGGGGGAGCGGCCACCUUGGAAGUGGGACAGCGUCCAGACUCCUGAGGGAGGCACCAGUAGGGAACCGUCCGCAAUGGGCGAAAGCCUUACGGAGCAACGCCGAGUGAGUGAUGAAGGUCUUCGGAUCGUAAAACUCUGUUAUUAGGGAAGAACAUAUGUGUCAGUAAAUGUGCACAUCUUGACGGUACCUAAUCAGAAAGCCCCGGCUAACUACGUG
rnacentral:rRNA from 1 species